AAAAGAACUCUGAAGAGAGGGUGCAAAAGCGCGUGAAACCGCCGAGGGGUAAACUGGCUGAGCCGAGCGACGUGUCCCGCCGGGGCGGCUAUGAUUUCCACCGGAUUUCGUUUCUUUCCGUCGGCGGAUCUCCGCGGCGGGGGAAAGAAGGACGGGGGAAGAUCGUGUCCAACCCCGGCGGGUCUCCGCCGUCACCGGCACCGGAUCGUCUCGUCGCCGCGUCUUCCCGGGGUCGUCGGCUCCGGGGCUACUGGGCGCGGAUAUCUCGAACGAGAGCGGUCGCGGGUGCCGUGGCCGACCGCGGGCAUUGCGAAGGGGGUUUCGUGUACCGGGGGGCGUUCGCGCGCUCCGACCGUUUCCUCCCCGGCCCGUCUGAAGGUGUACGGCGUUAUUCCGGUAUCUGCCCGACCCGUCUUGAAACACGGACCAAGG
rnacentral:rRNA from 1 species